CCUCUGGGCGUGGCUUGCAGGCCCCCAUUGUCAGGGGAAGCAAAAAGCGGUCAGGGAGGCACCCACCUGCGAGAGCGGGUUCAUUAAACACACGGUGGGGCACGGCAUUUGUGGGGUUUUA
rnacentral:sRNA from 1 species